rnacentral:lncRNA from 1 species
UCGACCAACCUACUCAUAUCUCUCUCUUGAACUGUAAGUAAGAUUAUUUUAAUUGCCAAAUGCUAAGUUGUCAAGUUAUUAUUAUUAAUAUUAUCCAACAUCACAAAACCCAAUCUCAUAACGGUAGUUUGCACGUUUCAUUCAUCAAUUGAUUCCAUAGUUUUGUGUUACAAGACGACAUUGAUCAGUUGCUAAACCCUAUGCAACGAGCAAAAUUAACUACUAUUAACUACUCCUAUUUUAAUUUUAAUCCUAUGAAAUUCACCAAAGGGACAUAUCUAUAGGCAAAUCAAAUAAAGGUCAAUUUAAGUCAGAAUUGUACUUUGAUUCAAAAAAAUAAAUAACGUAGUCAGAAUAGUACUACUACUAGUAGUAGGUUUAUUUUGCAAAAUAGGACCACAUGCAUGCAACUGGGUUUCAGACCCUACUAAUAACAAAACAUCAAACACAUUAAUUAUGUUGAAUUUAGCAAGAGAAAAAGAAUCUUACAUAAUUUUGUGUGCAAAUAAAAUUACAACAAUUAAUCAUUAUAAUUUUGAUUUUUGAAUGUUUGAUUCUCUGUGUGUAUCUCAUUUUUUAAAUCGAGCACAAAUAUUUAAAGUAUUUUUUUUUUAGAAAAAUUUGUUCAUUUGAUACUGAAGUAACUGCUUCUUGAUACUAUAUAAGACAAAACCGAUAUUUAGUGUACAAAAUAUAUGCAUUGGACAAAUAUAGCCGUUUGGGAAGUGUUUAAAAAAAAAUUCUAUGGCCAAAUAAAGAAACGUGAUUGUUUUGGUUUGAAGGUGGAGAGAGUUCAAAGUGAUUUUGCUAUGUUUGAAUUAAUGUUUUUGUUGAUUGUAAUUGAUUUUGACUUACAUUUACUUCUAGCUCUUUUUUGACUACUACAUCUAACUUAAAAGUUAUAAUUUAAAGUUUUCGAUUCCAAACAUAAUUUUUAGUCUCAUAAAUUUCUCAACUCAUUAAUUUAUACUUGAAAAUAUUUAAACAUAAGUUUAAAAGGGAUACACUAUCGGUGUUAAUCAACUCUGCAACCAAUGAGAAUCCACAAUUUGUUUUACAAAAAUAAACGAUAUUAAUUCAUUCAUGUUGAUAGAAUACGUCGAUACAACACAUAUUCAAAGUUGUUAAAAACAAAAAGAAUGAACUUGCGAACAAACUCACAGCAUCCAUGUUAAUAACAUAAAACGGCAAUGUAACUACGCCAACAAAUAUGACUAUAUAUAUUUAAGUCUCUGGAAUAUUCAUGUAUCUGGAUCUACAACUUUGAUGGCGCCAAAGUCAUUGAUUGGAUCUGCACCUGCUCAAUGACGGAAAAUAAAAACACAUUACAUAAAGACGAGAAAUAAAAAAACAAACAUGGUCGUGUUAAGACGACGAAAUCACCAUAACAAACAAAAACAUAAAAUAAAAAUAUGUAAAAAUCACUUAUUUAAUUAAAAAAUAAGAAAAUCAAUUCGAAUGAAUGAUUUUAAAUCAAAAUUAACCAUAAAUCAUUCUUCUUUAAUAGAUAAGAAGAAGAAAGGUGGUGAUGGCUAUAAAAAGAAGAGAAGGGAGAACAAAAUAUAUGUUUCCUGCUUUUUAGAGAUUCCACAAUUUUUACAUGUCAUCCUACUCUAGUAUGUUAAUCUUAUCUUACAAUAAAUGCAAUAAAGUGCAAAAUAAAAGACACUCAUUAGAUGUCGCUAGUGUUAAUUUUUUAAUCUAAGAACUUGAUUUUAUAUUUCUCCAAUGAGCAAAAUAUAAGCACAGUUCGUAAAAAGACUCUUUGGAAAAACACUUUUCCUGGUGUUAAUAUAUAUAUUUUGCAUAUUUCAAGAUAUGCAAAUUUGAUCUUCGUAAAAUAUAAGCACAUUCCAACAAAAUUUCAAGAUAAGAAAAACUCGAAUAAUUAUUUUUAAAACUAAUCUUAAAAUCUGCAUAUUUCUUUCAAAAACAUUUCUUAGAUAUAGUUUUAUAUAUACUUUUCUCCAUCAAAAGCUGCAAUGUUAAUCUCAUUAUUGCACUUUUUCCGGGCAUUGUUGACAACAUUAUAUCUCACAUGUUAAUCUCAUUAUUGAGAAGUCACAUGGCUUGAAAAUUCUUAAAGAAAAUUAAAGGAAAAAUGGAAUAAAAGAUGAACCAAAAUGGUGAUGAACUUCCACUAUUGGCAUAGUAAUAACUCCUCAUUCUGUCUUCUUCCCCCCACAUAUUGCCCACACCAGUUCAUACAUUAUAUACAUUUACAUAAUUAAGUUGUAUAAUUAAGGGUAUCAUGUUUUUAAUAUUGAUUUUGGUUAGAUAUUUGUACCAUAUUCUAUAAUUCAUGCUCAUAACCCCACAAAUACGUGGACAUGUAGUAGGAAAUACAAAGCUAAAUUUGGAUUAUUCUUUAUCACAAACUACCAAAAGGUUAUGUUCAAAAACAUCAUAAAAGAAAUGAUUAAAAAUCAAAUAUAUAUCUUCAUUCUUAAACCUCAAAAAGAAAAAGAAUCAAUUAGUGGAACAAAAUCUCACAAUGUUACAAUAGCUACAAUCAAAGGAUUUGAAGAAAUAUCAUAAACCACUUUGGAUCCAUAAUGCAUAAUACUCAAAAUACAAUAUAUAUUCACUUUCCAUUCCCUCUAAAAACAACUUGAAAUUAAAAUGAAAAUAAAUGCAAAAAGCAUUUUGGAGUUACUUUUGUCAAAUGAGGCAACUCAGCUAGGGCUGCUAAGAGGAAAUGACAUAGGAAUAGGACACAACAUUUUACCCUACCCAUCUCUUCUAAUCAUUCAAAAUUUGUCAAGAUGCUUCUAACCAUUUUGCGUAUAUUUUAAUUAGUGGUUGAAGAUUGAAACAGUGACUGAUUCUAACUAUUUGGAGUAAAACAAAGUAAUGGGAGAGAAGUGGCCAGCUGGGAAACAUAAUAUAAUGCAAUUACAUCAAAAUGAAACCAAUUGAAUAUUUGAAUUGGUCCUUCAUGAUGGCUACCCUUUAACAAUUCAAUCACAUUAUAAAUACUUAGUCUCUCAUUUAGCUUUUCACAAUAAUCACUUACACCAAAACAUCUUCUUUUCUUCCAAACUUUUCUUCUACUUCUAAGAAUAUUAGGGAGGUUAAGUAAUAACAUAAGCAUUGGAGGUGCCAAGUUUUUUCUUUCUACCCAUGACUGUUAAGGCCAGUAGCCCCAAAAGGGGUCAUAACUGGCCACCAAUGGCAAUGGCAUUGGCCAUUGUUUUGAUUUCAACUAGUGUGGUUUCUGCUGCUGCAGAUAGUUAUAUUUACUCUUCUCCUCCACCACCUUACGAGUAUAAGUCGCCACCGCCACCAUCACCUUCACCACCACCUCCUUAUGUUUACAAAUCGCCACCUCCUCCAUCCCCAUCACCUCCACCACCUUAUGAGCACAAGGCUCCUGCUUAUGAGUACAAGUCACCACCACCACCAACUCCUUCACCACCACCUCCUUAUGUGUACAAGUCACCACCACCGCCAUCUCCUUCACCACCACCUCCUUAUGUGUACAAGUCACCACCACCACCCUCACCUUCCCCACCACCACCAUACUACUACAAGAGUCCUCCACCACCUUCUCCUUCACCUCCACCUCCUUACUACUACAAAUCUCCUCCACCACCCUCACCUUCCCCACCACCACCAUACUAUUACAAGUCUCCUCCACCACCAUCUCCCUCACCUCCACCACCAUAUUACUACAAGUCUCCCCCACCACCCUCACCCUCCCCUCCACCCCCAUAUAUACACAAGGAUCCACCAUACUAUUACAAGUCCCCACCACCACCUUCACCAUCUCCUCCACCACCAUACUACUACAAAUCUCCCCCACCCCCUUCACCGUCUCCUCCACCACCAUACUACUACAAAUCUCCUCCUCCUCCAUCUCCUAUUCCCAAAACACCUUACUACUACAAAUCUCCCCCACCCCCUUCACCAUCUCCUCCACCACCAUACUACUACAAAUCUCCCCCACCCCCUUCACCGUCUCCUCCACCACCAUACUACUAUAAAUCUCCCCCACCACCGUCACCCUCUCCACCACCACCUUACUAUUACAAGUCUCCUCCCCCACCUUCACCAUCUCCUCCACCACCAUACUACUACAAAUCUCCUCCUCCUCCAUCUCCUAUUCCCCAUACACCUUACUAUUACAAAUCUCCCCCACCACCUUCACCAUCUCCUCCACCACCAUACUACUACAAAUCUCCUCCUCCUCCAUCUCCUAUUCCCCGUACACCUUACUAUUACAAAUCUCCCCCACCACCUUCACCAUCUCCUCCACCACCAUACUACUACAAAUCCCCUCCUCAUCCAUCUCCCAUUCCCCAUACACCUUACUAUUACACAUCUCCCCCACCACCUUCACCGUCUCCUCCACCACCAUAUUACUACAAAUCUCCUCCCCCUCCGUCUCCUAUUCCCCACACACCUUACUACUACAAGUCCCCACCACCACCAAAGGUCCUUCCACCACCAUACUAUUACAAUUCUCCUCCUCCACCUGUUGUGUAUCCUCACCCAUAUCCCUACCACCACUCACUUAUUGUGAGGGUAGUCGGUAAAGUCUACAGCUUCAGAUGUUAUGAUUGGAAUUAUCCUGCAAAGUCUCAUAACAAGAAACAUCUCAAAGGUACAUUACAUUUCUUAGGACCGGACCUCUUUAGAGUAAUGUGUUUAGAGAUAAUGCACAAUUUUUUAUUUUUUUAUCUCGUAAAGGUUUAUUUAUUAUAAUCACAAUUUCACUUUUGUCAAAAAGAAAAACAAUUUUACUAUAUAUAGUUUUAAUCAUUAACAUUUUGAUGUAAAAAGAAUACAAUUCUCUAUUACCUUUUUACUAUGAUAUAUAUACAAAGAUUAUUCAAAUCUAUAUAUCCAACCUAAUUUCCAUCCAAAAAAAUAGAAAACAUAGGGUGCUUUGAACGCCUGCAGCAUCACAUGAAUAAAUAAAAACAAUCAAUAAUCAACCUUGUUCUAAUUUAUUUUAGACAGCGAUUGUUAAGCAUACUGCUCUUUUAAUUACAUUUUUUUUAAAGAUGCUCUUUUAAUUAUAUUGUCCUAAUAUAAUAUGUGUCUUUAUAUAUUACUUGUCGUAAACUAAUUUUAUUAUGGGUGCAGGAGCUGUUGUUGAGGUGACAUGCAAAGCCGGGAGCAAAAUUGUCAAGGCUUAUGGAAAAACUAAGAACAAUGGAAAGUAUGCCAUCACAGUUAAGGACUUUGACUAUGUCAAAUAUGGUUCGACAGUGUGCAAGGCUGCCCUAUAUGCUCCACCUAAGGGUUCACCCUUCAACAUACCUACAAAGCUAAAUCAAGGAACAAAGUUGUACUUGAAAUCCAAAGACAAGUACGAGGUUGUGCUCAAGGCUAAGCCAUUUGCUUAUGCUUCAAAGAAACAUUUCAAAGAAUGUGAGAAGCCUAAGCCUUCACCAACUCCUUACUACUACAAAUCACCUCCACCUCCCUCACCAGUUUACAAAUACAACUCACCACCUCCACCGGUCCAUUAUUAUUCACCUCCAUACACCUACAAGUCACCUCCUCCCCCUGUGAAAGCGGCACCAACUCCUUACUACUACAAAUCACCUCCACCACCCGCACCGGUUUACAAGUACAACUCACCCCCUCCACCGGUCCAUUAUUAUUCACCACCAUAUACCUAUAAGUCACCUCCUCCCCCUGUGAAAGCGGCACCAACUCCUUACUACUACAAAUCACCUCCACCUCCCGCACCGGUUUACAAGUACAACUCCCCACCUCCACCGGUCCAUUAUUAUUCACCUCCAUAUACCUACAAGUCACCUCCUCCCCCUGUGAAAGUGGCACCAACUCCUUACUACUACAAAUCACCUCCACCACCCGCACCGGUUUACAAGUACAACUCACCACCUCCACCGGUCCAUUAUUAUUCUCCACCAUACUACUACAAGUCACCACCCCCACCAUCUCCAUCACCUCCUCCACCAUACUAUUUCAAAUACUAUUACAAGUCCCCACCUCCACCAUCACCAUCCCCUCCUCCACCUUAUUAUUACAAAUCUCCUCCUCCACCAAAACAAAUUUCACACCCUCCAUACUACUAUAAGUCACCACCCCCACCAUCACCAUCACCUCCUCCACCAUACUAUUAUAAGUCUCCACCUCCACCAUCACCAUCUCCCCCACCACCUUAUUAUUAUAAGUCACCACCCCCACCAUCCCCGUCCCCUCCUCCACCAUACUACUACAAGUCUCCACCUCCACCUAAAGAAAUAUCACAUCCUCCAUAUAACUAUAAGUCACCACCCCCACCAUCACCAUCCCCUCCCCCUCCAUACUAUUACAAAUCUCCUCCACCACCAUCACCAUCACCACCACCUCCCUACUAUUACAAAUCACCUCCACCACCAUCACCAUCACCUCCCCCUCCAUACUAUUACAAAUCUCCUCCACCACCAUCACCAUCACCACCACCUCCUUACUAUUACAAAUCACCUCCACCACCAUCCCCAUCACCACCACCUCCAUACUACUACAAAAGUCCCCCUCCACCAUCUCCAUCUCCUCCAUCCCCAUAUUACUACAAAUCUCCACCACCACCAUCACCAUCCCCACCCCCUCCCUACUAUUACAAAUCACCUCCACCUCCCUCACCAUCACCGCCACCUCCUUACUAUUACAAAUCACCUCCACCUCCCUCACCAUCACCGCCACCUCCUUACUAUUACAAAUCUCCCCCACCUCCAUCUCCAUCUCCACCACCUCCUUACCACUAUCAAAGUCCUCCUCCACCAUCUCCCAUUUCUCAUCCUCCCUACUACUACAAAUCCCCUCCACCACCAUCGCCGUCUCCUCCACCUCCUUACCACUAUGUGAGUCCUCCCCCACCAGUAAAGUCACCUCCACCACCAACUUAUAUCUAUGCUUCACCACCACCACCUCACUACAACUAAGCUCAAAGAGCAGAAGCUCCGUUCAUUAUAAAUCAUGUAAGUUUAUCAUCUUCAAUUUUCUGAAUGUGUGCGUGUGUAUUUGUUUUUUUGUUACAAGAUACUAACAAAAUUCUUUUCUUAUUUAUGUUCAGGUUUUAGUUUUCAUCUAGGAAUAAAGGCAAGCUCCAUUUGGAGUAAAGUGAAACUUCUAGCUUCGUGUCCGAAUUCGUUAAAUAAAUGUCGGGAUGUAUCGUCUUUGAGCUAUAAUAUUUCUGAUCCAGACAAUAUCUAUUUUGUUUCUUUGGUGGCAAUCUUGCACUUCCUGGUCUUAGUCUAUUCAAGUGACAGACAAAUCAAAAGGGAGAAGCGAGAUUAAUUUAUUUGUGAUCUCUUUGAUUUAUUUGUGCAUAUAUCAAUAUGAACGUGUAUGAUAUUUUUCUAUUUAUUGAAGAUUUUUUUACUGUAACCUGUUAUUGUGUUUGUCAAAAGGUGUUAAUAAAGAAUCACAUUCAAUUUCUGUUAAAUUAUCAGUAUUUGUUUCUUUCUAACAACUACCAUUCAUGCAAAUGUGGCUAUUAAAAAAAGCUCCAAUGACACAUAAAAAGCUUCCAAACAAUAUAUAAACAAAGAUGCAUUGUUUUCUGUUAAGAAGGGGACAGGGUUACGGUUACUUGUGUACCAAGUUAGUUAUCCAUGCUUUCUUGUUCAUAGGAUUUAUAUGGUGUAGUUGCACUUAGUUGCUAAAUGUAUGCAAGCUUUUCCUUUCUAUAAAUAAGCACACCUACUAUCAUUCUUCUCCACAUUCCUUUCUACUCUUCUAUCAUGAAUUGUUCAUCCACAUAAGAUGGUCACAGAGCACACCUAAUACUCUGCUACUGGUGUAUCAGUUCCUUUCCACCAGAAACUUAUGAUCUCUAAUUGAAAGAGAUCCUAAAGUUUUAAGAUUUCUACAAAAUACAUUAUUCUCAUUUUUGUACAAGUAUGAUACAAUUAUUCCCAAGUAUUAUUUAUUCUAAGGAAUAGAAUUUAGUUGUGGUUUCUCUAUUUAACCAACAUUUAUUUUUAAAUAACUAAAUUUAAAAAAAAAAUCCUGAAAUUAUUAAGUACAUACCUAACACAUUGUAAAAUUUUGUUCCCAAAGAAAAUAUUUUUGGCAAUAGAAUUUUCAGGAACUUCAUUCCUAGGAAUAUAAUUCUAUACUAAGAGAAGAGCUUAAGCAUUGAUACAUAACAAGACCAAUCCAUAUCCUAAUCACAAUCCUACUUUCACUAAAUACUUUCACUUAAGUGUGGUCUUGGAAAGGACAAAUGAAGAAAGACAUUCCAGAGGUAUGGUAAGGGACAAUAUCUGCAGUUAUGCACAUAUUGCAAGAUUGUGAGGAACUACCGGACUGAUUUGAUUCACCAAAAAAUUUGGAAUAAAUAUUUCAGCCCAGAACUCAGACAAUGACUGGAUUGGAACCUUUCAGCUUCUAAUAUCGGUACUGUCCAAGGAAAUAGUCAUUCUCUUUUUGGAGUAGCUGUGAAGGAUUUAUGGAAAGAUAGAACUAAGCUGGUCUUUUCUAGAAACACCGCGAUUGGAACUACUCUAUUUUGGCUUGUAGCCAAUCCGGCUAAGUUUAUUAACAAUGUAGUUUGUACUCAAGCUCACAGUCACGAUGUUGUCAGCAACAGUGGGCAUAUUGUUUAGGUAGCCUGGAAUUUUCCUCCCCAACACUUCUUCAAAGUGAAUAUGAUGGAUCUCUACGGGAUUAUGUUAGUUUCCAGGAUCGAACUCAGAACCUCCUGAUUAUAACUCCUUCAAUGUAUGUCCCUUACCCACGUGGGGCCUCGGCUGUAAUUGUUAACAUGGUAAAAUUUGGCUCUUCCAAUAAUGGUUUUAUCCAAACUCGAGGUUGUUUAUCGUCUCCAACAAUCAGAUUGGAGAAUACUAGUGGUUCAUGCAUUUGAACAAACCAACUGUUGUGCAGAUUUUCUAGUUGAUUUUGUUUUUCCUUUUUUGAGUAUUUUAUUAGCCAAUGAUAUAAGAGGUUGUAGCCUACCUCUUUUGAUUUCUUAAGACAAUCACUUUUGCAUUAGAAAAAAACGACCCUACAUAAAAUUAAUGAUUGAAUUAAGAUAUAACUUCAGUUUGAAAUAUUGUAAAAUUCUAUACCACCAAAAACUGAGAAUUUUAGAACCAUACAGGUUGGUGGAGUGGUCAUCCAGAUAACUUUAACAUAAUUAACAGUCCAAAAAGUAAAUAGCUUUAUCCUUUAUUUUCAAUCUGAUGUGAUUUACUCUUAUCUGUUAAACAUUAUAAUUAAGAAUCCAAAGGGAACACUCACCUAAUCUCUCUCUUUUUUCUAGCUUUUUCACUAAACCACUGUGUCUGUGGUUACCACAUUUCCUUAUGGAAUCAAUAUCCAAUUUAUGUUAAAAACCAUUUCUACAUUUUGUGUUAAAAAUGAUCUAAACAAAGAUGAUUUAUUUCUCUUAAAUUCAACAUAGAUCAUAUUUACAUGGUUCAAACUUUCUAUUACACGGCAUUGACUUAGUUGCUUCACAUGGGGACACAACUAAUGCAUAUAUUAUUUUAUAUGCUUAUAGUAAUUUUAACAAGUGGCAAUGGGGCAUAUGUUUUGUCAAAAAAACACAAAAAACAGGAGGCAUGUGCAACUGAAGUCACUGCCAGCUUGGCACUAAGAUAUAGUAAAAUAAUUGACAUUUGAAGAAAACAAAGACGUUGCUACAUUUCUAUUCAAACAAGCGACAUCAAUAUCAGACAAUGGUGCUACAUUUAAUAAUACUACAGCUAUCCCCAUAAGCACCUCUUAGAAAGAAAAAAAAAUAUCCAUUAAAUUAAUGUUGGAAGAGUUAGCAACAUGUCCUCUCCCAAAAAAACUCAUGUUUGAUUCCUAGAGUCGUCCAUUUCGAAAGAAGCUCAACCCUGAUAAUAAAAACCUAGAUGUUAUGCUGCAGACUUAAAGAUCAAUUUCAUAAUGGAUCCAAAGGGCCUAAGCUGUGUGGGAUACUUAAGGGGGUAUAUUGAGGCUAAGGGUCAAAGAUCUUAAUUAUGGUCGGUUAAAAAAAGAAGAAAAAAAAAUUAUCUCUAAAUAUAAAGUCAACAAUAUUUCAAAUUGCAAGAUACAUUUAUUUAUUUUUUAAAUAUGUAUAUACCUCUUAUUAAUACUUACUAAUUUGUUUUGAGUGAUAAAAAGUUACGAGUUAGACAGAUCAGCACAUAAAAAAAGUAUUUGAAAAACAUCUACCAACAAAAUAAACACAUUAAAAACAAUACUACUUUUUUACAAUACUGUAUGUGAAAAUGACAAAAUCUUGAAAAAGAUGGAGGUAACAUGUACUCUUUUUUUUUUAGAGGGGAGCAUGUACUUUUCCACUAACAAUGUUGAUAAGAAACAUAUAAAAUACUAUUAGAGAAAGAAAAAAAAUAAUAAAUAAAGAAAUAUAUAAAAUACUGAGGAAUGACUCACUCAUGUCAAAUUUUAGCAAGGGAGAAGUGAUAUCACAUCAUUUUAGAAGAGGAAUGAGAAUAGAUAGAUCUAAUUUUUCUAGUAAGUUUGAAUAGUAGAAUCAUACUUCUUUGUCUUUUGUGAAAAUUUCAUAUUAUGGGAUCUAUUACUAGAAUACAGGUGAUUUUAUUCUGGAAGAUUGACUUUUUAUUAAAAUAAAAUAAAAGUACAUUUUUUAUUUCCAAAUGCUUAGUUGUUCAUUUAUAAAUAUUACAUUAUCCAACAGCACCAAACCCUAUUUCAUAACGGUACUCUGCACGUUUCAUUCAUUUACUGGUGCCUUAGUUUUUUGUUACAAACAGACAUUGAUCAGAGGAACAAAUGUAGAGACAAAUUGAAGAUAAUAUAUCACAUAAUAUUGUAGACACACCUUCACAUACAAAUGGGGUAAAGUCCCUCAUAGUAGUAUUAGAAAUAACACUUAGAGUAAAAUUUUGCUAAAUUUAACAUGAAAAUAAGUGUAAUGUAUUUUAUAGGCAGCUAUACAUAAUUAUUAAUUAGAACAAUUUUUUACACUGUCAAACAAAAAUUGAACAAUUUUUUACUAGCUUUAUGCUUUAUGAUGUUUUGAUUCCAUGUGCACAUUUCAAUUUUAGAACUAUUCCUUUCUAUGUUACUGAAAUAAUUCUAUCAUUAGGCAUUGACAUUUCCAUUAUGCGUGCACGUUAAAGUGUUUUCCCAAACAGAGAAAUAUUAAGAAAGGUUAAACUUUUGACUUAAAGACACAACUAAAAUAAGAUCCAAGGAAAACCCCAUUGAUUAUUUCUUGCACAAAAUUAAAAACCCCAUUGAUUAUUUCUUGCACAAAAUUAAAAUGCUAAUAAUUUUUCCUGGUCUAUAUUUUUCUCCUUCCGGGAAAUGGCAACAUCACAUGUUCAUCUCAUAAUUGAGAAAACACAUGUCUGGGAAAAUAUCUUAAAGAAAAGGCAGUAAAGUAAUAAAAAGUGCACCAAAUAGAGAUUAACUAGUACUCUUUGCAUGUCAACUAAGUGGUAUAAUUAUGUAUAUCACAUUCUUAAUAUUGAUUAUCUUGAUUGCACGAUAAGCCCCUCAAAUUGCUCAAUCGAUGAUUGCUUGAUAAGCCCAUCAAAUUGCCCAAUCGAUCGAAUCGUAACUUUCGAUAGACAUUUUUUUUAAGAAAACCCAAUUGGAUCAUAACUCCCCAUAGUCAUUUAUUUGAAAUUGUGAGCAAUUUGAUAACUUAUUGAGCAAUCACCAUUGAUUUUAGUCUCAAUUUAUCCUAAUGUUGUAACCCUGGAAUAAUGGAACAGUGAGUAAAUUUGGUUUCUCCGUCUCAAAAUAAGUGUCACAAUUUAACCAUGUGCACUACUCAUCAAAUCUACUUUGACAACAUUUUUUUUACUAAUAUAUAAAGACAAUGUUAGUACAUUACAUGUUCGAUUUGUCUUAGUUAAUGUUUUUAAAAUAUCGACUUUAUUAUAAUUUUUCUUAAUAGACAAUCAAAAAUAUCAAUUGUCAAAAUUGUGUAUUGAUAUGUAUGAAAAUCAAACUAUAACACUUACUUUGAGACGAAGAGAAUAACUAUUAAAAACUAAUGUUCAAAUAGAAAGAAAAGAAAACAAAGAUUCCAUACAAAGCUUGCAAAAUAGCUACAAUCAUAACCUAGAACAAAAAUCAUGACCACACACUAUAUCCAUUUUCCUUUUCCUAAAAAGCAAUUGAAGAUAAAAAAAAAAAAAAUAAUAAAUAAAAAAAAAAAAAAAAAAAAAAAAAANACCACCAUACUACUACAAAUCCCCACCUCCACCAUCGCCUUCUCCUCCACCACCAUACUACUACAAAUCCCCACCUCCACCAUCGCCUUCUCCUCCACCACCAUACUACUACAAAUCCCCACCUCCACCAUCGCCUUCUCCUCCACCACCAUACUACUACAAAUCCCCACCUCCACCAUCGCCUUCUCCUCCACCACCAUACUACUACAAAUCCCCACCUCCACCAUCGCCUUCUCCUCCACCACCAUACUACUACAAAUCCCCACCUCCACCAUCGCCUUCUCCUCCACCACCAUACUACUACAAAUCCCCACCUCCACCAUCGCCUUCUCCUCCACCACCAUACUACUACAAAUCCCCACCUCCACCAUCGCCUUCUCCUCCACCACCAUACUACUACAAAUCCCCACCUCCACCAUCGCCUUCUCCUCCACCACCAUACUACUACAAAUCCCCACCUCCACCAUCGCCUUCUCCUCCACCACCAUACUACUACAAAUCCCCACCUCCACCAUCGCCUUCUCCUCCACCACCAUACUACUACAAAUCCCCACCUCCACCAUCGCCUUCUCCUCCACCACCAUACUACUACAAAUCCCCACCUCCACCAUCGCCUUCUCCUCCACCACCAUACUACUACAAAUCCCCACCUCCACCAUCGCCUUCUCCUCCACCACCAUACUACUACAAAUCCCCACCUCCACCAUCGCCUUCUCCUCCACCACCAUACUACUACAAAUCCCCACCUCCACCAUCGCCUUCUCCUCCACCACCAUACUACUACAAAUCCCCACCUCCACCAUCGCCUUCUCCUCCACCACCAUACUACUACAAAUCCCCACCUCCACCAUCGCCUUCUCCUCCACCACCAUACUACUACAAAUCCCCACCUCCACCAUCGCCUUCUCCUCCACCACCAUACUACUACAAAUCCCCACCUCCACCAUCGCCUUCUCCUCCACCACCAUACUACUACAAAUCCCCACCUCCACCAUCGCCUUCUCCUCCACCACCAUACUACUACAAAUCCCCACCUCCACCAUCGCCUUCUCCUCCACCACCAUACUACUACAAAUCCCCACCUCCACCAUCGCCUUCUCCUCCACCACCAUACUACUACAAAUCCCCACCUCCACCAUCGCCUUCUCCUCCACCACCAUACUACUACAAAUCCCCACCUCCACCAUCGCCUUCUCCUCCACCACCAUACUACUACAAAUCCCCACCUCCACCAUCGCCUUCUCCUCCACCACCAUACUACUACAAAUCCCCACCUCCACCAUCGCCUUCUCCUCCACCACCAUACUACUACAAAUCCCCACCUCCACCAUCGCCUUCUCCUCCACCACCAUACUACUACAAAUCCCCACCUCCACCAUCGCCUUCUCCUCCCCCACCUUACUAUUACAAAUCCCCACCGCCACCUUCACCAUCUCCCCCACCACCCUACUACUAUAAAUCACCCCCACCACCUUCACCAUCUCCUCCACCACCAUACUACUACAAAUCACCCCCACCGCCAUAUGAACACAAGACUAAACCAUACUAUUACAAGUCUCCUCCACCACCAUAUGAACACAAGACUAAACCAUACUAUUACAAGUCCCCACCACCACCUUCACCAUCUCCUCCACCACCAUACUAUUACAAGUCCCCACCACCACCUUCACCGUCUCCACCCCCACCAUACUACUACAAAUCACCUCCUCCUCCAUCACCUAUUCCCCAUACACCUUACUACUACAAGUCCCCACCACCACCUAAGGUUCUUCCACCACCAUACUAUUACAACUCUCCUCCUCCACCUGUUGUGUAUCAUCACCCUCAUCCCUACCACCAUGCAUUGAUCGUGAAGGUAGUGG